UACGGGGGGGGCAAGCGUUGUUCGGAAUUACUGGGCGUAAAGGGCGCGUAGGCGGUUGGAUAAGUCAGCUGUGAAAACCACGGGCUUAACUCGUGGCCUGCAGUUGAGACUGUCUGGCUUGAGUGUGGGAGAGGAGAGUGGAAUUCCUGGUGUAGCGGUGAAAUGCGUAGAUAUUGGGAGGAACACCGGUGGCGAAGGCGGCCCCCUGGACCGGUACUGACGCUGAGGCGCGAAAGCGUGGGUAGCAAACGGG
rnacentral:rRNA from 1 species